GGGCUGGCUUUAGCCCAGCGGUUCCUUCAAAUCUGGCUUCCCAACCGCCUGGGCCAAUUGGUCCGGUGGUUCAAGACCCGCGGGUGCUCUCCAGUCCUUUU
ensembl:misc_RNA Vault Vault RNA